CCCUUGCUGUGCCUGCAGGUGUCACUGAGCCCGAGCAGCUGGUGCUGUUCAGCAUCUCGGCUGCCAUCUCGGCCUUGGGCAAUGUCGUGAUGAGAGGGUGGCGUGGGGACAGCCGUGGGGACAGCCAUGUGGAGCUGGAAGAGGACUUGAUGCCACCUUAAACUGUCCCCAGAGCUGUAGCCAGGCCAGGUCUCAGUGUGCAGGACUGUCCCUCUGCAGCCAGGCCCUGGGGCUAUUCUGAGCUCUGCUGGACGUGGAGGUGUCACAGGUGAUGUGCUGGCUCUGCCACCACAAGCUGCUCCCUGCUGCAAGGCCUUGGCCUGUCCAGGCAGCAGGUGCUGGAUUCUGGGACACCCUGGCCAAGCACAUGCAUGGACAGAUCUUCAGCUGCAUGGUCAGGAAGGUCAGCUGUGCCUUGUGGUCACUGAAGGGUUACCACACCUCUGUUGGCAUCCUGGACAUCUGUGGGAAAGAGCAGCUGCCCUCUCCUGGGCUGCCUGGAAGAACCCGACCCUGCUGCUCCAGCUGGGACACAGCCGUGCCUGUCCCUGCAGUGGGGACAGCUGAGGGCCCCAGGUGGCUCUGCCUGGGCUGUGCCUCACGCUGGUCUCUGCUGCCCACAGGUCUGAGAUGUUCAAACACAACAGCUUUGAGCAGUUCUGCAUCAACUACAGCAACGAGAAGUUCCAGCAGCACCUGCACAUCUUCAAGCUGGAUCAGGAGUACGUAACCGAGAGGAUCCCUUGGGCGUUUGUCACCUUCUGUGACAUCCAGCAGUCCCUGGAGCUCCUGGAGGGCCAGCUUGGCAUCCUGGACCUGCUGAAUUGUGGUAGUGCAUAUUUCUGGGAGUUACUUUGUUUUCUCUGUGACGUGUUUUUCCCCUCCCCUCCUGUCCCUAAAACGUUACCCCAUUGCUUGGUGUUGUGUGUCCCCCCACCCCUCUCCCGAGGUUUGAAAGAGUCCGGGAAAGAGUAACCGGCCCUCUUCUCUCUCUGGAAGCUAGCCAGAAUAAACAUCCUCCGAUCCCCCGGAGGGAGAAGCA
rnacentral:lncRNA from 1 species